rnacentral:rRNA from 1 species
UACGUAGGGUGCGAGCGUUAAUCGGAAUUACUGGGCGUAAAGCGUGCGCAGGCGGUUUUGUAAGCCAGAUGUGAAAUCCCCGGGCUUAACCUGGGAAUGGCAUUUGGGACUGCAAGGCUCGAGUGCGGCAGAGGAGACUGGAAUUCCUGGUGUAGCAGUGAAAUGCGUAGAUAUCAGGAGGAAUACCGAUGGCGAGGGCAGGUCUCUGGGCUGACACUGACGCUCAUGCACGAAAGCGUGGGGAGCAAACAGG